rnacentral:rRNA from 1 species
CGGCCAGACUCCUACGGGAGGCAGCAGUGAGGAAUAUUGGUCAAUGGGCUUACGCCUGAACCAGCCAAGUCGCGUGGGGGAAGACUGCCCUAUGGGUUGUAAACCUCUUUUGUCAGGGAGCAAUUGGCGCUACGUGUAGCGUUAUCGAGAGUACCUGAAGAAAAAGCAUCGGCUAACUCCGUGCCAGCAGCCGCGGUAAUACGGAGGAUGCGAGCGUUAUCCGGAUUUAUUGGGUUUAAAGGGUGCGUAGGCGGACGCUUAAGUCAGGGGUAAAAUCGCGGGGCUCAACCUCGCUCCGCCGUUGAAACUGGCGUUCUUGAGUGGGCGAGAAGUAUGCGGAAUGCGUGGUGUAGCGGUGAAAUGCAUAGAUAUCACGCAGAACUCCGAUUGCGAAGGCAGCAUACCGGCGCGCAACUGACGCUCAUGCACGAAAGCGUGGGUAUCGAACAGGAUUAGAUACCCCCGUAAC